GGCGAGGUUCCUUCAUACGUGCACGUGAGGUCUAAAAGUCAGAAGGAAAGAACCAAGCAUCGGCGACAUGAUUCAAGUGUUGGAGCAGCAGGAGUAGAGACAAAACCUGCUGAUCAACCGAAAGCAGUAAACUAUGAGGAUCCAAAGUUUGCCCAUUACAGCAUGAGAAACAAGUAUGGAGACUCUUUCCCCCGGUACGCAUGACUCUAGUCUCACUAAUGACUUUUAAGUUUUAUAAGCAGGGAGGAUCAAACCUUUUUGUCAUGUAAGUUGUAACUCUAAUAUUAAUGGAAGCAAGUCAAGUCAAUCAAGUCAUAUGUGCUGUAUUGAGUAAUUUCACAGAUUUUCCUUUACUCUUUUCUGGAGGAAGGAAAAAAAAUCUUAAAGUAGUGGCGUACGUCUUGCCGGGGAGUGAAAGUAAUAGGAAAAGGAUGAGACAUUCAUGUGAUAUCUGAGGUUUGAAAGAUGACAGCCGUGAUAUUCUUGAUGAUCAAAACAGUUUUGUUUCUAACUUGUGGAGAAUCCUCAUUCCUAUCUCCUUAAUGAAGCCAGCAGGCGAAACGACGAUCGACUCACAAGAAAGUGUAGUAGUAUUAUUUAUUUACAUAAAGACUUUUGUGUAUGUUGUAUGAAC
rnacentral:misc_RNA from 1 species